UUCAACUGAUUCACAACAGAAUUUACUAUUCCUUUGAAGUAAUUUUGAACUUACUUGCUAACACCAGCCAACAGCAAUGUCUUCAACUAAAGGUGGACCCCAUGGACAUCAUGGACAUCAUGGGCAUCAUGGACACCAUGAUCAGAAAUCCCAGGACCCAUGCAAACCAGUGCAGCAAUGUCAAGACCAAACACCAAAGUGCCCACCACCUGUGCAACAAUGUCAGGACCAAGCACCAAAGUGCCAUAAGGCUGAUCCAUGCGCCCCCUGCCCUCCUGAGCCAUGCCAGACCCAACAACAAGGAUGUAAAAAAUAAAAUCGACAUGAAAGACUCAAAUGAAGCAAUACCAAGCACACGAGUGAUUAAAAAUGUAAUGUUGUCUGUGUCUUGAUGUUCUGUGUAAGUCUGCAUAUUCAAUAAACUUAGCAAAAAACAUAAAAAAAA